UUUUGGGUUACAUGACGUAUAGCGGUUUAGGCAUACGUCGGGGUUACAUGAAGUACCUACUUCCAUGUGUCAUUGUAAACAUUUAUGUAAAUUUUUUAUUUAUAUUUGUGUUUAUAUUCUUCUGUGUUGUUUUAUGUUGUUUAAUUUUACAUCAUGUCGAGGACAAGCUUUCAUGCUCAUGAACUUCAUAGAAUAAUGCUCUACGGCAUGUCAACGCAAGAUGUAGUAAGGUGCAUGCAAGUAUGUAAACAUUGGAAGGUAUAUAAAUUAAAUAUUUAUAGUACAUCAAUACAAAUAAUCAAAUCUAUAAUUUAAUAAUUAAUGUUUUUAAUUGGAAAACAUUAAGAAUGUAUUUAACAUUAGUUACCUGGGGCCACGCCUAUAUACAAGUUGCCACAUAGAACGUCAAAUUUGUAGAAACUUCCCACUCAACCACUGGUAAAGCCUCAUUUGUUGCUUGUGGCCCACCCCCAGGGCAACGGGGCAUGAUCUUGAAAAACGGUAUUUUCACUGUAUUUGUCAACAAGCGUAACAAAUUUUUAAAUCAAUAUAACAAGUUGUCUGGCUAUAUUCAUUAAAUUAAUAUAAAUUGUUACUAGAAGAAAUGUACAGACUCGCAGCAAACGUUUCACGUUUGUUAACUUAAUAAAAAUUUAAUAAUAAUAAUAAAAUAGAAAAUGGCUUGUGUCAUUUGCGUGCUUGCGUACUGUAAUAUAACAAUUGUUAUUUAUGCUGUUUUUAUAUGAACUUAGAUUUAUUGAUAUCUUCCGAUGUAAUUGCGAUGUUGUUCAUUUACUGAACAUUAUAAAGGCUUUUGCUAUGCAUGCUCGUGGUACAAACUUUAUAUAUGCUCCUUAUAUGAUACUGUUGAUUUCUUGCAACAUUCAUCUUGUUGAUUUCUUCGGAACCUGUACACAAUCUGUACUUCAUCAAUCGUCCACCACAACAACCAGCGACAAAUGCCAUUAUGCCAACAAUUAGCUCAGGCUCAUUGACCGCUUCGUUACAAAUCUCAUAUGCAAACUUGCAAAAUUUAAAUGUAGGGUGAUAAAAUAAAUUCAUUAUAUAUUAGCCUUUGUAAAGGCAUCAGCUCUUAUUAAAUAUACGUAGGGCACAUGGUUGCCCUGUGCCCCUGUAGCAUAGAGCAUGCAGCAAUGGCAGCCCCCAUGGUUGGCACCCCUGAUUAGGUUGCAGUGCAUUCUAAUGUGCCCUACUUUAUUAUUCUACUCUGUCUAAUGCCUGGUUCACACUGGUCGUAAGAAUCGGGGAUUUCCAUUGUCUGAGGUCAUUGGUGUGCAAAAUGCUUUGUCUGUCGGAAAAGAAUACAAUAGAUGGCCGAUGAAUUACGACCAGUGUGAACCAGGCUUAAAUGCCAGACAAUUCACUGAAUUGACAAGGGAAGAGCGUUACUUGGUACUUAAAGGAUUAACAUAAUAACAAUCGGUGUAAUUAGCACUAUAUAAAUAAACAAAAUUUGGAGUUUUGUUUUCAAAAUUUGUGCCACUAGUAUCAUUUCUAAAAGCAGAGAUCAAUGUAUUAGGAAACAUAAUACAUAUGGGAAUUUUGCAUUGAAUAGGCAUGCACCUGUCAAGAAAAUCCCAUAUAUCUCUCUAAUGAAAGUUCAUAUUGGUUUUAAAAAUGGUGCCUGUGCCAGAGUUUUCAAAAUACUACUUACUUGCACUUAUACUUACUAGCUACAGUAUCACCACCUUUGCUAUGACCUGCUCUUUUUAUUUCUGGUAUUUACUGUAUAAUAGAGAGAGCUACAGUACCAUAAGAUCUUAAAUUGACUCAAAUUUGUGAUAAAAGUCUAUAACUGGAGAUAACUGUUUAUAUAAAUUUUUAUUUUACUUUAGACUGUUCUUUCAGAUGAACAUUUUUGGAAAGAGUUUAUUAAUGGGAAAUUUGAUUUGUCUGUGAAUCCACAAUUAUUAGAAGGACCAUUAAAAUAUUGGGGAACAAGUGACUGGUAAGCCAAGUGUUUUUUCAAAAGGAAAAAAUUAUAUAUAGGAGUAUAUAGCUAUCUAGUAUAUGAUUAUGAUUUAUUUAUGAAUGGUUCAUUUAUUUAAGAAAAUACCAUUAUAAUUGAUUAUAACUCAUUUGAUCCGUAAGUAUUUUAAUUGAAACCAGUUAUAGUUACAGGCUUACAUGCUCAAAAAAUGUAACUAGUUAAUGUUACAAACUAAGUUACUUUCAAUUUUUUGUGACUUGUUUAAACGUUACAUCUGCCAAAAAUGACAUAACAUUUUUUCUAGUACAUUGGGCAAAUUGGCCCGAACCUCAGUUAUAGAAGGCCCAAAAAUUUGUUUGGGGUCACCCUGAAAAGCAGGAAUUAGUGAGAUUUGGACUCCUUUUUUAGUAGACAUGGAUGGGAAAAAAUUUUGUGACUAUUUUUUUAAUUGUCAUAAUCUGGAAACUCACCAACUUUUUUUGGAAAAAAUAGGGCCCCCACUUAAAAAUUUGACGGGGGCCUCCAGAGGUUGCAUUUCGCCACUGUCCACAAGAUGUACCAACCAUAAAAAUAUGGAAAGUAAAAAAAGUAAAAAUACACCUCAACUUUCUGACAAUUGGUAGUUUUGUGGUUCCAACAUCUUUCUUAGCCUGCUUACAGCCCCCACCCAAAAAUUUCCAGUUUCCUUUGAACGAAAUUUCAGGCUGCGAGCAGGCUACAUCAUCUUGGGCCUAGCUUGGAUAGCUAGUAUGUCGA
rnacentral:lncRNA from 1 species